rnacentral:rRNA from 1 species
UUAGACGGGGACCCGCACAAGCGGUGGAUGAUGUGGAUUAAUUCGAUGCAACGCGAAGAACCUUACCUACCCUUGACAUGUCCGGAACUUGCCAGAGAUGGCUUGGUGCCCGAAAGGGAAUCGGAACACAGGUGCUGCAUGGCUGUCGUCAGCUCGUGUCGUGAGAUGUUGGGUUAAGUCCCGCAACGAGCGCAACCCUUAUCAUUAGUUGCUACGCAAGGGCACUCUAAUGAGACUGCCGGUGACAAACCGGAGGAAGGUGGGGAUGACGUCAAGUCCUCAUGGCCCUUAUGGGUAGGGCUUCACACGUCAUACAAUGGUCGGUACAGAGGGUUGCCAAGCCGCGAGGCGGAGCCAAUCCCACAAAGCCGAUCGUAGUCCGGAUUGUUCUCUGCAACUCGAGAGCAUGAAGUCGGAAUCGCUAGUAAUCGCAGGUCAGCAUACUGCGGUGAAUACGUUCCCGGGUCUU